GGAUUCCCCUAGUAAUGGCGAAUGAAGCGGGAACAGCUCAAAUUUGAAAUCUCCGUCGCCUGCGACGGCGAAUUGUAGUUUCUAGAAGCACUUUCUAGGCGAUUCGGGGCCGUCCAAGUUGCUUGGAACAGCACGUCAUAGAGGGUGACAACCCCGUCUGUGGCGGAACCGGGCGCUGACGAUGUGCUUUCGACGAGUCGGGUUGUUUGGGAAUGCAGCCCAAAAUGGGUGGUAAACUCCAUCUAAAGCUAAAUACUGGCACGAGACCGAUAGCGAACAAGUACCGUGAGGGAAAGAUGAAAAGCACUUUGAAAAGAGAGUUAAAAAGUACGUGAAACCGUUAAAAGGGAAACGAAUGAGGUUAGCAAUGCGCUCUGCGAGAUUCAGCCGGUGGCCGGGCUGGGCGAGCGGUUUGCGGAUCUGAAUGGACCGCGGCCGUUCGGGUUGGUCCCUCGACCGUCGCACUUCUCACGAGCGCGCGUCAGUGUCGGUUGGAACUGGGUUUUAAAGUCGCCGGGAAGGUAGGUCAGUCCCUUCGGGGUCAGACUGUUAUAGACCGGUGUUCUUAUGGCCCGGAUCCUACCGAGGUGCCGCGGCGCGUGCCUCUUCUGGCUGGGGUCCCGUCGUUCCGGUCGGUAGUCGACUGUGGUGGACUGCGUGCAGUGCAUCGCGACUGCUGCCGGUCGCUUCGGCGGUGACCUCACACAACGCGCCCAGGACGCUGGCGGUGACAUGGCCUCAUCCGACCCGUCUUGAAACACGGACCAAGGAGUCUAACAUGUGCGCGAGUCUUUGAGUGAUCGAAACUCGCAGGCGGAAUGAAAGUGAAGGUGGCUUCGGCCGCUGAGGUGAGAACCCCUCCUUGCGGGGGGCGCAUCAUCGACCGACCUAUUCUACUCUUAGGAAGGUUUGAGUAAGAGCGCAUCUGUUGGAC
rnacentral:rRNA from 1 species